GAGUGAGGGCCUCCGGGCUCGACCUCCAACCCUUUGUUGUUACAACUACCACUGCCUCGGGGGCGACCCGGCUCCCGCGCCGGGGCCCCCGGUGGAUUAUAACCAAACUCUGCGUCUCUGCGUCUGAGUCAAAAGUAAAUCAAUUAAAACUUUCAACAACGGAUCUCUUGGUUCU
rnacentral:misc_RNA from 1 species